UACGGGGGGGGCAAGCGUUGUUCGGAAUUACUGGGCGUAAAGGGCUCGUAGGUGGCCAACUAAGUCAGACGUGAAAUCCCUCGGCUUAACCGGGGAACUGCGUCUGAUACUGGAUGGCUUGAGAUUGGGAGAGGGAUGCGGAAUUCCAGGUGUAGCGGUGAAAUGCGCAGAUAUCGGGAGGAACACCAGUAGCGAAGGCGGCACUCUGGGCCGGUACUGACGCUGAGGAGCGAAAGCGUGGGGAGCAAACAGG
rnacentral:rRNA from 1 species